AUCCACUCAGCAGCCACUGUUUGGUGAAGCCACUUUGCACACAUGACGUGUAGACUGGACCGGGUUCACUAACACUGAACCGGCUCGAAGACAACCCUCUGCCAGUUCGAAUCCCUCCCUCUGCCAUUUCGAAUCCCUAAUUUCACUUUCAGACCCCCCUUUCUCCCGAGCGUGGAACGACGAAGAUGACGAAGAGGAAGGGUUGAACGGUUUCUUCCAAGAAGCCGUGUCGAAUCCCUCAUUUCACCCCCCCUUUCUCCCGAGCGUGGAAAGACGAAGACGUAGACGACGAAGAGGAAGGGCACGCACGGUUUACUGGGGUUUCAUCUCUCGGACCAUUCACAAUCACGGUUUCAUCUCUCUCUCUCACACGCUCUCUCUCUCUCCUCGCCCGACGGUCGGUUUCUUCUACUCUGUCCCUGUUUCUCUCUCUUUUUCUUGCCGUAACCCUAGCCUCCUGUCACUCCGAUUGACCCAUUACACACUUCGGUUUUGACCCAUUACACACUCUCUAUCUCUCUGUUGGUGCUUUUAUUUGGAUUUUGGUUGUGAGAAAAUAGUAGUUGAAAUGGGUAAGUGAAAUUUUGUAUUAGUUAUUUUGUAUAGAUAGCUUCCUUCUUGAUCUGCAUGAUGAGUUGAAAAUCCUUGUAAUAACUAACAGCCUUUUUUAUAUAUUUGUAUACGUAGGGAGGAAACCCCACUUGAUCUGCUCAAACGCUGCUCUAUGUUAAUUUUUCCUGUUUUAUUUGGUUUACAGUGCUAACUGCUAAUUUUAAAAAAUUGUACAAGGGAGCUAGGUAAAUGUCAUUGCAUCUUGUUAUGUAAUUCCUACUUGUUUUUAACUUGUUUGUGUGCUGAUUUUUAAUCCUUGGUUUUAUGAAAUUUAGUCUAAUAUAGGGGUUGUUGAAAUGAUUUUGUCUGAGUUCAAAUGAUACACCAUAUUUAGACAUCAUGCUCAUAUGCAAUACUCUUCAUAUGAAAUGUAUUAACAUCAUUGGGGCUUACAGUUUGGUCGAAUUUUGCAUUUGUAGAGUGGAUAUUCUUAUUACAUGUACACAUCCUGCUUAUACCACAUUGGGGCUUAAAAAAAAAGGCAAAGUGAGAAAGAAUAAAUCCAUGAAUUGUCAAAGACCAUUUGUCAUAAAAGGUGGUGAAGUUAUUGUGUAGGCCUUAAAUUCUUGUAAUCCAACCAGUUUAUUAGCUUUGUUGAGUCAUAAGGAAGGGCAGAAUUUGGUCACUAAGUUGGCCUUGGAUUUUUGUGUCUUUUCAUGUGAAUGGUAAAAGAAAAAUUCUAUUUACAUUAUGAAUAUGUACUUAUAUACUAUUUUGGUUGAGCUGCUAAUAAUGGUGUAGAGAAGUUUGAUCCUUAAAACCAAAGACCAAACCUAUUACCACUUAAUCCAUUUCGGUAUGGUUGCUUGUGUAAUUUUACAGUUUAUUGGCUUUGUUGAGUCAUAUGGAAGGGCAGAAUUUGGUGACUAAGUUGGGUUGUUAUUAACUCCACCAUGUUAAUAGCUUAAGUUUUAUGUCUUUGAUUUUGUAAUUGGUUUUUCAGAAUCACGCAUGGCACCAUCCGAAUCAUCAUCUGUAGUUAAUGAUUUUGUGAUGGAGUCACCAACUUGUUGGUGUGGUUUAAAAACACCACUAAAAACAUCCCACACCAAAAAAAAUUCCGGAAGGAGGUUUUUUGCAUGCCCAAAUUAUAAUACGGGAGAUGCUCGGUGUGAAUUUUUUGUUUGGUUGGAUAUACUAACUCUACUAGAGGAGAAUUUUCGUGUCAGAGAGAAUAAGGCUUCUUGUUGCUGGGAGGACAUAUUACAGCGCGACUAUGACGUUAGGAAAAGGGAAGAAAAAGUCCGAGACGCUGUGAAGAAUCUGAAAAAACAAAAACAAAAGUUACUGAUGAUGUACUGGGUUUUGACAUUUGUAGUUAUCUUUGCUUGGUUUGGAUAAAUACCAUGUAGUAUCGAAAGUUAAUUUUGGAGCUGUUUUGAGAUGUAGUUUUUUUUGUUGUGACAGCUUGUUAACCCCAUGUUGGGGAUAUACUCAUUUGCAGCAGUUUGGAUAAAUACCAUGUAGUAUCGAAAGUUAAUUUUGGA